AUUAGUAGUGAGCUGAGAGGCGGUUAUUAGUUUUUUUGUAAUUUGGUGAGGUACCUUUUGCAUCAUGAUUUGCUGAUGUGGUGUUAAGAAUUUAAUAACUCGAAGGGUUACGAUUAUCAUUCAGGAUGUUUAGAACGUUAUAGUUAGGUGAGUAAUUUUCUAGAUAGUUGUUUGAGGUGUUGAGAAAUAAUUCGUGUAAUCUGAUAGCUAGUUGAGAAGGGGGAUGUUGUAUGUUGAGUUUUAUUGCGAAGAGGUGAUGAAAUUGAUAAGAAAUGUAGGAUGUGCUGUGAUAGGGGACUUAGGGUCAGGGUUACCCUUGGUUUGGUAGUAUGUUAUUAUAAGGAGGUUUGUAGUUGUGGGUAUUUUUAAUUUUAUACUUCUUUGGUAAAUUAGUUGUGAGAUUUAAUGGCAGAAUGAGUAGAAUGUUGAUAGUGUUUCUUUUUUUUCUCGGUGCUUAUCGGUCUGUUUUUCAAAAACAUUUCUAUUUGUGAUGGUUGAAUAGUAGGACCUGCCCUAUGUUUAUAUAAAUGGCCGCAGUAUUUUGACUGUGCAAAGGUAGCAUAAUUAAUUGUCUCGUAAUUGGGGAAUUGUUUGAAUGGUUGAACUAGAUAAGUGGGAAGAUGAGAAAGGUGUUUGAAAUUGGAUAUUUGGUGCAGAUUCCAAAGGUUAUUAGUGGGACGGAAAGACCCCGAGAGCUUUAUAUAUUGUAGUAUUUAUUUGGGGCAGAGGUAAAUUGUUUAUUUAUUUUAUGAUCCUAAGGGGGUAAUAGGUGUAAGUUACCUCGGGGAUAACUAGGUAAGAAAUAAGGAGAGAUCUAAUCGAUUUAUUUAUUUGCCAUCUCGAUGUUGAUUUAAAGUAAUGUAAGGGUGUAGAAGUUCUUGCAUAAGGUCUGUUCGACCAUAGUGCUUUUCAUGAAUUGAGUUAAGACCGGUGUAAACCAGGUCGGUUCUUAUCUGUUGUUCUUGCGAGUUAGUACGAAAGGAUUGCUUGUGAUUUAUGUU
rnacentral:rRNA from 1 species